UAUCGGCACGAAAUCGUCGGAUGAAAAUCUGAGGUGCCCGACGCACAACAUUUUGAACGUGCCACGGAGGAUCAAGGCAAAAAACGAGAGCAAAAAAGGUGCACGCUGAAGGCGGAAAUGAAGCAUGAUCUGGCUUGCAUCUGGUGCAUGAAGAAAUUGCUGGCACGUUAGUUGCAGUCUACCUCCACCAACAGGGUGGAAAACAAAGGUCGCCAUUCCGAUUAGCUGCUAUCUCCCAGUUCAAGCACUUUUGCUGUCUGGACACUGGUUCCUGUGGAUGGGCUGUUACAAGCUUCACUGUCUGAUAUAGAAGUGAUGAGCAUCCAUAAGAACACAUGGCAGAAAGGGAGUCUCUUUGAGAUGACAAACCCUCAUCACCUCAUGAGGAUACAAUGGUUGACGAAUGGUUCUCAAGUACAUCGAAACUUCAACAAAUAAUUCAUGAAAAAGCCGGUCAGUGCUAGCACCAGGAAUUGAACGUGGACCGUCCUGCUACCAGUCAGAGAUGUUACAUUUCAGGUGCUCAUUGACUUUUGGUGAAUUACUUGUUGACUUUGUCCCAAGGUGGAGCUCGCCACAGCUCAUUUGUCUAUCUGUUAAUGUUGUGGCGUGUGUUGCGUUUUUCUCUUUGUGUGUUCCAGACUCAGAACGGUAAAUUUGGAUCAGGUCAGGUACGUUUCAUUUAGACAUGGCAAACAUAAAGUGGUGUUUCUCAACACAACUUAGCAGUGGCCUUCAUGCAUUACUGCCACGGCCAUUAAGCGUGAAUGGAAGGCUGCACAUUAUGCAUGAUGUAAAACCCCAAGACUAGGAACAUGAAGGGACAAACACAAACACGUCCCUUUUUGUUCCCUAGUCACGGGGUUUUACAUAUGCAUCAUCUUCACCAGCUCACUUGCUUCCUAGCCAUUUUUUCUGCCACAUUAUGUUCACUCUACUUCUAUCGUGUGCUAUGUAAUCUUGUUCAAGUUCUGUCAAACGACGUGUAAUACUAUAAAAACAUUCAGUACACUGUUUAUGUGGGUUGAAUGGUAGCGCAUAAAUGCAGAAAGGGAACUGUCAUGUUAUGGAAAGUGUUUACGUAUUGUACAUUUAACUACUAAUUUUAUUGGUUAGCUUUCGCCGGCAUAUGAUGUCAAGCCAUGUUAUAUUAAUUUGGAACAUGUUCUUCUUAGUAGCCAGAGCAGCUGACACACAUUGAGAACAUAGCCCGUGUGUGUUUGUCUUUUCCACCGCAGCCCUUGGGUUUCCUCCCUGAUGGCUACACAUGUCAGGGAUAGGUUUCAGAACCGGUAGUUCCCGCCAAUUGUGAAUUACUUUUCAGGGGAUCAUCACGCUGGCAGAUGAAACAUAUCGUUUAAAUUAUUUGCAGGACAGGAAUUGCGUAGCUUCACACAAAUACUACUACUACGACGUAAGAGUGGUUUCAAAUCUAGUUUUUUUGCAUUCCUGACAUUAUCGCACGAGAUGUAGUAUCCACUAUGAUCCUUUAUAUGAGGGGUAUGUACAGUGCAAUCAACAGAUGCUAUUUACAAAUCUGUGUUUUCUACUGUGUUGAAAUGGGGUAGUUUGUAUCUGAGAGAUAUAGUGAAACACAGGCAGCCAAGGACAGACUUUUGAUUCCCUCG